rnacentral:lncRNA from 1 species
GGAUAGAAGAUCUGUAUUCCGCACUCAUAAGGGAUCCUCCCAACAAGACGAGCCUACUGAACAAGCCGGUGUAUUGCAUGAGCUCGAUUGAACACUAGGAGUUACAACGAUCGAUCCAGAAGUCGUUGGACAAAGGAUAUAUUAGGCCAAGCAUAAGUCCUUGCACAGUGUCUGAUUACUAGUUCCAAAAAAAGAUGUUUUGUGGUGCAUGUGCAUAGAUAGCAGAGCAAUCAAC